rnacentral:rRNA from 1 species
CCUACGGGAGGCAGCAGUGGGGAAUAUUGCACAAUGGGGGAAACCCUGAUGCAGCGACGCCGCGUGAGUGAAGAAGUAUUUCGGUAUGUAAAGCUCUAUCAGCAGGGAAGAAAAUGACGGUACCUGAUUAAGAAGCCCCGGCUAACUACGUGCCAGCAGCCGCGGUCAUACGUAGGGGGCAAGCGUUAUCCGGAUUUACUGGGUGGAAAGGGAGCGUAGACGGUGAUGCAAGGCAGAAGUGAAAGCCCGGGGCUCAACUCCGGGACUGCUUUUGAAACUGUGUGACUGGAGUGCAGGAGAGGUAAGCGGAAUUCCUGGUGUAGCGGUGAAAUGCGUAGAUAUCAGGAGGAACACCAGUGGCGAAGGCGGCUUACUGGACUGUAACUGACGUUGAGGCUCGAAAGCGUGGGGAGCAAACAGGAUUAGAUACCCCUGUAGUC